GACGAACGCUGGCGGCGUGCUUAACGCAUGCAAGUCGAACGGAAAGGCCCUGCUUUUGUGGGGUGCUCGAGUGGCGAACGGGUGAGUAACACGUGAGUAACCUGCCCUUGACUUUGGGAUAACUUCAGGAAACUGGGGCUAAUACCGGAUAGGAGCUCCUGCUGCAUGGUGGGGGUUGGAAAGUUUCGGCGGUUGGGGAUGGACUCGCGGCUUAUCAGCUUGUUGGUGGGGUAGUGGCUUACCAAGGCUUUGACGGGUAGCCGGCCUGAGAGGGUGACCGGCCAAAAGGGGAAGGGAGAAAGGCCAAAAACCCUAGGGGGGGGAAGAGGGGGGAAAUGUGGAAAAGGGGGGGAAGCGUGAGGAAGGAAAGCCGGGGGGGGGGAAAGGGCUUUUGGGUUGGAAACGGUUUUGCCGGGGGAAGAAGGGGGGGGGAGGGAAAGGGGAAAAAAAGCACGGGAAAAUUAGGG
rnacentral:rRNA from 1 species